AGAGUUGAUAUGGCUCAGGAUGAACGCUAGCUACAGGCUUAACACAUGCAAGUCGAGGGGCAGCAUGGUCUUAGCUUGCUAAGAUGAUGGCGACCGGCGCACGGGUGAGUAACGCGUAUCCAACCUUCCCUAUAGUAGGGGAUAGCCCGUAGAAAUGCGGAUUAAUACCCUAUGUUGUAUUUAGAUGACAUCUGACGAAUACCAAAGGUUCACCGCUAUAGGAUGGGGAUGCGUCUGAUUAGGUAGUCGGCGGGGUAACGGCCCACCGAGCCAACGAUCAGUAGGGGUUCUGAGAGGAAGGUCCCCCACAUUGGAACUGAGACACGGUCCAAACUCCUACGGGAGGCAGCAGUGAGGAAUAUUGGUCAAUGGGCGAGAGCCUGAACCAGCCAAGUAGCGUGCAGGAUGACGGCCCUAUGGGUUGUAAACUGCUUUUAUGCGGGGAUAAAGUGAGGGACGUGUCCCUUAUUGUAGGUACCGCAUGAAUAAGGACCGGCUAAUUCCGUGCCAGCAGCAGC
rnacentral:rRNA from 1 species